GGGGUACGAGAGGGCCGCUACCACGCGAGUGGAUGCCAAUCCCCAAAACCUCUCUCAGUUCGGACUGGAGUCUGCAACCCGACUCCACGAAGCUGGAUUCGCUAGUAAUCGCGCAUCAGCCACGGCGCGGUGAAUACGUUCCCGGGCCUUGUACACACCGCCCGUCAAGCCAUGGGAGCCGGGGGUACCUGAAGUGCGUAACCGCGAGGAGCGCCCUAGGGUAAAACUGGUGACUGGGGCUAAGUCGUAACAAGGUAAC
rnacentral:rRNA from 1 species